rnacentral:lncRNA from 1 species
GCAUUUUUAUUAAAAGAAGCAAAUGUUUCUUUUUUUACAGAAACGUAUUCUAGUAUUACAGAAUCUAAUAGUGAAUUUUUUUUAAAAAGCCCACUUCCUUAAUCAUCUUUUGUUUAGGUCCGAAGAAGCCCAGUUCCGAUAUGUUGGUAAGAGAAGGGUUGAUACCCUAGGCCUAGGUCAUGCUUCUUCUUUUUCGUUCAUGUCAAUUCAGAUAAAACAAAAAAAAAAUCUUUUCAUAAGGCGGCAUAGGUGUAGCAGGCCACCGGUGUUGUUUGUAGUCUCCGACUUUACGAAUCAUAUUGGUGGGGUCAGAUCUGAGACAUGUAACCCAAGCCUUCUGCAGUGUCUCUUCUGUA